rnacentral:tRNA from 1 species
GGAGACGUGCCGUAAUCGGUAGCGGAGCGGCAUGCUAGGCCGUCCGGCCUGUGGGCCGUGUGGGUUCGAGUCCCACCGUCUCCGCC